rnacentral:lncRNA from 1 species
AUGAAGAGCUUUGAGAGACUAGUCAAGGACCAUAUCACCUCCACCCUACCUGACACCCUAGACCCACUCCAAUUUGCUUACUGCCUCAAUAGGUCCACAGACGACGCAAUCGCAAUCACACUGCACACUGCCCUAACCCAUCUGGACAAGAGGAAUACCUAUGUAAGAAUGCUGUUCAUCGAUUACAGCUCAGCAUUUAACACCAUAGUACCCUCCAAACCCAUCAUUAAGCUCGAGACCCUGGGUCUCGACCCCGCCCUGUGCAACUGGGUCCUGGACUUUCUGACGGGCCGCCCCCAGGUGGUGAGGGUAGGUAACAACAUCUCCACCCCGCUGAUCCUCAACACUGGGGCCCCACAAGGGUGCGUUCUCAGCCCUCUCCUGUACUCCCUGUUCACCCACGACUGCGUGGCCACGCACGCCUCCAACUCAAUCAUCAAGUUUGCAGACGACACUACAGUGGUAGGCUUGAUUACCAACUACGACAAGACGGCCUACAGGGAGGAGGUGAUGGCCCUCGGAGUGUGGUGUCAGGAAAAUAACCUCACACUCAAUGUCAACAAAACAAAGGAGAUGAUUGUGGACUUCAGUAAACAGCAGAGGGAACAGCCCCCUAUCCACAUUGACAGGACAGUAGUGGAGAGGAUGGAAAGUUUUAAGUUCCUUGGCGUACACAUCACAGACAAACUGAAAUGGUCCACCCACACAGACAGCGUGGCGAAGAAGGAGCAGCAGCGCCUCUUCAACCUCAGGAGGCUGAAGAAAUUCGGCUCGUCAUCAAAAACACUCGCAAACUUUUACAGUUGCACAAUCGAGAGCAUCUUGUCGUGCUGUAUCAUCUCCUGGUAUGGCAACUGCUCCGCCCACAACCGUAAGGCUCUCCAGAGGGUAGUGAGGUCUGCACAACACAUCACCGGGGCAAACUACCUGCCCUCCAUUACUCAUCUCAUAUGUAUAUACUGUACUCUAUACUAUCUACUGCAUCUUUCCUAUGCCAUUCGGCCACCACUUAUAUAUUCUUAUUCAUUCCUUUACACUUGUGUGUAUAAGGUAGUUGUUGUGAAAUUGUUAGGUUAG